AGAGUUUGAUCCUGGCUCAGGAUGAACGCUGGCGGCGUGCCUAACACAUGCAAGUCGAACGAAGCUUGACGGAUGAUUUCUUCGGAAUGAAACCAGAUAUGACUUAGUGGCGGACGGGUGAGUAACACGUGAGCAACCUGCCUUUCAGAGGGGGAUAACGGCUGGAAACGGUCGCUAAUACCGCAUGACGUGUUCGGAUGGCAUCAUCUGAACAUCAAAGAUUUAUCGCUGAAAGAUGGGCUCGCGUCUGAUUAGAUAGUUGGUGGGGUAACGGCCUACCAAGUCUACGAUCAGUAGCCGGACUGAGAGGUUGAACGGCCACAUUGGGACUGAGAUACGGCCCAGACUCCUACGGGAGGCAGCAGUGGGGAAUAUUGCACAAUGGGGGAAACCCUGAUGCAGCAACGCCGCGUGAAGGAUGACGGUUUUCGGAUUGUAAACUUCUUUUCUUAGUGACGAAGACAGUGACGGUAGCUAAGGAAUAAGCAUCGGCUAACUACGUGCCAGCAGCCGCGGUAAUACGUAGGAUGCAAGCGUUAUCCGGAUUUACUGGGUGUAAAGGGAGCGCAGGCGGGACUGCAAGUUGGAUGUGAAAUACCGUGGCUUAACCACGGAACUGCAUCCAAAACUGUAGUUCUUGAGUGAAGUAGAGGCAAGCGGAAUUCCGAGUGUAGCGGUGAAAUGCGUAGAUAUUCGGAGGAACACCAGUGGCGAAGGCGGCUUGCUGGGCUUUAACUGACGCUGAGGCUCGAAAGUGUGGGGAGCAAACAGGAUUAGAUACCCUGGUAGUCCACACUGUAAACGAUGAUUACUAGGUGUUGGAGGAUUGACCCCUUCAGUGCCGCAGUUAACACAAUAAGUAAUCCACCUGGGGAGUACGACCGCAAGGUUGAAACUCAAAGGAAUUGACGGGGGCCCGCACAAGCAGUGGAUUAUGUGGUUUAAUUCGAAGCAACGCGAAGAACCUUACCAGGUCUUGACAUCCGACUAACGAGAUAGAGAUAUGUCAGGUGCCCUUCGGGGAAAGUCGAGACAGGUGGUGCAUGGUUGUCGUCAGCUCGUGUCGUGAGAUGUUGGGUUAAGU
rnacentral:rRNA from 1 species